CCCUAAUCUUUUCCAGCCUCCAUCUUCCUUCUUCCACCAGUCAAGCAAAUCAAAUGAAAUGGUAGUUUUUCUCAUCUUCAUCUUCUGACAAAUGGAUCUUAUUUAUCUUCUUUCUCACACAGCAACAAAUGACAACCUAAUUUCUGCUAAACCCUAAAACCCACCAUCGCAAAUUUGCUUUGUCUGUUCUUGAUCGAUUCCUCUUUGAUAAUUGAAGGUCCACAUAUAAAGACUGAGUGUUAGAUGUUGGAACCGGACUUGAAAAAUUCGAAAUAAAUUUCUACUUUUGUAGUGGUAUAAUUUGAAUCAUCCUUGAUGUUCCGGCUGUUCAAGACAAUGAAUUGGGUUGGUUCGGCACAUCAAGAUACUAAGUAACAAUGGUGCCAUAAACUUUCGGGAUGCAUCAUCUCUAUUUCUUAUUCCAAUCCUAUCAUUCAAUCAAACAGAGGAGAUUAAUGAGAUUGAGAGUGUGUUCAUGUGCAACCAGGUUCUGGAAUCGGUUGGGUAACGGGUCAGAUGGGUAUAUUUGUUCAUGUCUCAAGAAAUGCAAAGAUUGGGAUAAGCCAGGGAUGUGGGUAUGCGACCAUGAGCUCACUUGGAGAAUCCAAAGUUGAAUUGCUACUCUAGAUGGUUCAAACAAUAAACCUUUGAGAAGUUGUAAAAUGCCCCACACCAGAGCCUCGAGUGGAGUUUCCUGUAUAUAGAAGGAAUUGACGCCAUAUGGGUACCGUACAAGUAUUAAUCUUCAUUUCAUGUACCAGUUCAUUCCAGAAUGACAUCGAUCAACAAUUUCCAGAAAUGCCAGUGAUUUCUUCAACUCCGACUACCGUCGAAAAGACUUCAAGGAUUGCACUGAUCGCCGCCCACAGAAUCGUUCGAGCUCUCGAUUACGAUGUUGAUGAAUUUUAGGCCACCUGCGACCCAGUGAUAGGUUUGAUGCAACUUAAAAUACGAGCCUGUUAGGUCUUUAAGUUGGCAGGUGUGAUACUGCAUGCUGGCGUGAUGAGCGUUUCUUCAUCAGGUUCUAGACAGGUUUUGGGUGGAGAUCUUGCUCGUAUGAUACAAAUCUAAUAUAGCCUUUUUCAUUUAAAAAUGGGCACCAUGUUUCAAACUUUGAGGACUUAAAUAGGGGCGGGUCUGCUUGGACAACUGGUGUAAGAAGUAAUAGAAUUAAAACAAAACCCUUGGAAUAUUGGAAGGGUGAAAGACCCUUGUAUGCAUGAGUUCAUAACAGUUAUGUUAAAUAUCCAACGGGUCAAACGGGUAUAAUAAUAAACAUGUCAAUGAGCCGAGUAUGUGAAACAGAGCCAUUGAAAAUGGUUUCUCUUGUAAAGACUGUGAAGAUGAGUAUGAAAAUGUAAGUGAAGAUGGAGGUGCAUUUUCUAGGUCCGUACAAGUUGUAAAAUUGAACAAUGUUGAGAGAAAUAAUCAUUCUUUAAAAGAAAGAAAACCAGUGAGUUUUGUGAAAUCCAAUUUUAGUAGAAGCAGUACAAGUAGAAACGAGUGGUUUAAGUGCCAUCAAUGUAGGAGAACCGACACAAUAACAGUUUCUUCCACCAAGUGUAAAGAAAAAGUAUAUCGUAUCCAAUGCAUCAAGCAAUGGUAUCCCCAAUUGUCAAAAGAAGAUUUUGCAGAGCUAUGCCCAUUUUGACGUGGAAACUACAACUGCAACUUGUGGUUACAGUCCAACAUUAAGAUGCCGAAAAUUAAAUUUGAUAAUGAUGUGAAGUUGCAACAUCUUCAUUAUUUAAUCAAUUCACUCCUUUCGUUUUCUAAACAAAUCUGUAAAGAACAAGAAGAGGAAAAUAUCGGUGGAAGCAUCUUCUCGAGGGGUAUCACAGUCUUCACUUAAAAUUAGGCUGGCAGAUUGUUACACUGAUGAGUGUGUCUAUUGCAACCAUUGCUCAACAUCAAUAUCUGAUCUCCAUAGAAGUUGUUCAAAAUGCUCAUAUGAGCUAUGUCUUAAUUGCUGUCGGGAAAUACGGAACAAUGAACCUAUCGUUCAAAGAAAAGUAGACUUUGGGUACUACUUUAGAGGUUUUGACUAUGUUCAUGGGGGGAUCCUUAAUGAAUACCACUUUUCUUAAAAAUGCACCGAUGUAUGUAUAAAAUAUUAUUUUAACCCAUUUUUAUAUUUGUUUGGUGUAUAGAGUUUAGCAACUUAAAAUUCUUUAUUAAAUAGAUAUUGAUUUAAUUGAUUGGGGUGAAUGGCAAAAUGAAUU
rnacentral:lncRNA from 1 species